UACGUAGGGUGCAAGCGUUGUCCGGAAUUAUUGGGCGUAAAGAGCUCGUAGGCGGUUUGUCGCGUCGAAUGUGAAAACCCGGGGCUCAACUCCGGGCCUGCAUUCGAUACGGGCAGACUAGAGUUCGGUAGGGGAGACUGGAAUUCCUGGUGUAGCGGUGAAAUGCGCAGAUAUCAGGAGGAACACCGGUGGCGAAGGCGGGUCUCUGGGCCGAUACUGACGCUGAGGAGCGAAAGCGUGGGGGAGCGAACAGG
rnacentral:rRNA from 1 species